GCAGGAACUUGCGAGUACUCGAUACUCCAACUUCUUGAUCUCAAAUCAGGUAGGAUUACCCGCUGAACUUAAG
rnacentral:rRNA from 1 species